rnacentral:rRNA from 1 species
AACAAACGCUGGCGGCGUGCCUAAUACAUGCAAGUCGAACGGGGAAAGCUUUCGGGUGAGUACUAGUGGCGCACGGGUGAGUAACGCGUGGAUAAUCUGCCUUAGAGUGGGGGAUAACUAGUCGAAAGAUUAGCUAAUACCGCAUAAGACCACAGGAACCGAGGUUCUAGAGGUCAAAGGUUUUUCGCUCUAAGAUGAGUCCGCGUAAGAUUAGCUAGUUGGUGAGGUAACGGCUCACCAAGGCAACGAUCUUUAACUGGUCUGAGAGGAUGAUGAGGAACACUGGAACUGAGACACGGUCCAGACUCCUACGGGAGGCAGCAGUAGGGAAGAUUGCACAAUGGAGGGAACUCUGAUGCAGCGACGCCGCGUGAGUGAUGAAGGCCUUCGGGUCGUAAAGCUCUGUCGCAGGGGAAUAACACAAUGAAUGUACCCUGUAAGAAAGGAUCGGCUAACUUCGUGCCAGCAGCCGCCGUAAAAC